rnacentral:lncRNA from 1 species
CUGGAGAGGCAUCAGCCAAGUCAGGGCUCCAAGCUCCAGGGCUGUACAAGAAUUGACGGCCUGACUCCCGCUGGGAAGAGGAAAAUACUAUUUGCACCAGCUGCUAAAAACCUACCGACUAUAGACUGACUCCCCUGGAACUGGGUGCAGGCUGUCCCCAGUGCCUGGAAUGCUGGUAGCAUCCCUACCUGCCUGACUCUCCUCGGCUCCUCGCUGGUAAAACACAAACAGCCCUUUGUUCCACAGAGCUCCCUUGCCAUCAUGUCUCAAAGACGCAUUUCCUUGAAGGAUGUGAACUUGGAUUCCCCGAACCUUCUAUGCACCAGUAAUGAAAAUGGAAAGUGAUAGCUUUAAUCUGGUAUCUGUUAGGCCAGGAAACCUCCUAUGACACCUCUCAGAGAGAUCUGCGCGAUUUAAAGAACAUCAUCCUACCAUACAGGUAAAUGGGGAAUUUGGGACAUGUCUAGCAAUUCCAGCCUCUCCCCG